CGCACAUAAUCAUACUCGAAAUCAACAAUAUCAAAUAUAGCCUGUCAAUAACAAAUAUUAUAAGAAUACAGUACUAAUUAAAUAUUUUAUUAAAUAUUAUUUUAUCUGUAAGUGGCUAUAGAAGACCUCCCUUUGAGCUGAUGUAACGUGAUGCCAAUCGAAGAGCAUCACAAGGAUAUAGCUGCAACAUAUGAUACACAGUUUAGUCUGCUAU
rnacentral:lncRNA from 1 species